CAGUCGCCGCGGGAAUACGUAGGUGGCGAGCGUUGUCCGGAAUCAUUGGGCGUAAAGGGAGCGCAGGCGGGCAUGUAAGUCUUUCUUAAAAGUUCGGGGCUCAACCCCGUGAUGGGAAAGAAACUACAUGUCUUGAGUACAGGAGAGGAAAGCGGAAUUCCCAGUGUAGCGGUGAAAUGCGUAGAUAUUGGGAGGAACACCAGUGGCGAAGGCGGCUUUCUGGACUGCAACUGACGCUGAGGCUCGAAAGCCAGGGGAGCGAACGGGAUUAGAUACCCCCGUAGUCCCUGUCUCUUAUACC
rnacentral:rRNA from 1 species